GUGUCAGCAGCCGCGGUAAGACAGAGGUGGCGAGCGUUGUUCGGAAUCAUUGGGCUUAAAGCGUGUGCAGGCGGCGGCGUAAGUGUCGAGUGAAAGCCCGCAGCUCAACUGCGGAACGGCUCGGCAUACUGCGUCGCUUGAGGUCGGUAGAGGUGCUUGGAACUCUAGGUGGAGCGGUGAAAUGCGUAGAUAUCUAGAGGAACGCCUGAGGCGAAAGCGGAGCACUGGGCCGAUUCUGACGCUGAGACACGAAAGCGUGGGGAGCAAACAGGAUUAGAAACCCUUGUAGUCC
rnacentral:rRNA from 1 species